UACGUAGGGGGCUAGCGUUGUCCGGAAUCAUUGGGCUUAAAGCGUGUGUAGGCGGACCGUUAAGUACCUUGUGAAAUCCCCCGGCUCAACCGGGGAACGGCUGGGUAUACUGGCGGUCUUGAGCCAUCCAGGGGCAGUCGGAACAGACGGUGGAGCGGUGAAAUGCGUAGAUAUCGUCUGGAACGCCGAAGGUGAAAACAGACUGCUGGGGAUGAGCUGACGCUGAGACACGAAAGCCAGGGGAGCGAACGGG
rnacentral:rRNA from 1 species